GUUGAAAUGAUGAUCUAUGUCGGAUACCCCUUCACUCUUAAUAAUGAGUGAAAAAAAUUUGCUGACAAC